GCUGGGCGCGGUGGCGCGCGCCUGUAGUCCCAGCUACUCGGGAGGCUGAGGCAGGAGGAUCGCUUGAGCCCAGGAGUUCUGGGCUGUAGUGCGCUAUGCCGAUCGGGUGUCCGCACUAAGUUCGGCAUCAAUAUGGUGACCUCCCGGGAGCGGGGGGCCACCAGGUUGCCUAAGGAGGGGUGAACCGGCCCAGGUCGGAAAUGGAGCAGGUCAAAACUCCCGUGCUGAUCAAUAUUAAGGAUGAGGGUAAUCCUCACUCCGGUCCAAUGGCGGAAAAAAAAAUAAAAAUGUGGAGGCCUACG
ensembl:misc_RNA Metazoa_SRP Metazoan signal recognition particle RNA